GACGGACGCUGGCGGCGUGCUUAACACAUGCAAGUCGAACGGAAAGGCCUCUUUCGGGGGGUACUCGAGUGGCGAACGGGUGAGUAACACGUGAGUAACCUGCCCUUGACUUUGGGAUAACUUCAGGAAACUGGGGCUAAUACCGGAUAGGAGCUCCUGCUGCAUGGUGGGGGUUGGAAAGUUUCGGCGGUUGGGGAUGGACUCGCGGCUUAUCAGCUUGUUGGUGGGGUAGUGGCUUACCAAGGCUUUGACGGGUAGCCGGCCUGAGAGGGUGACCGGCCACAUUGGGACUGAGAUACGGCCCAGACUCCUACGGGAGGCAGCAGUGGGGAAUAUUGCACAAUGGGCGGAAGCCUGAUGCAGCAACGCCGCGUGCGGGAUGACGGCCUUCGGGUUGUAAACCGCUUUCGCCUGUGACGAAGCGUGAGUGACGGUAAUGGGUAAAGAAGCACCGGCUAACUACGUG
rnacentral:rRNA from 1 species